GUGGGUAUUGUAGAAAUGGUAGAUACGGUGAACUUAGGAUUCACAAUUUAGGGGUUCAAGUCCCUUUACCCAUA
rnacentral:tRNA from 1 species